CAAUAGCGUAUAUUAAAGUUGUUGCGGUUAAAAGACUCGUAGUUGGAUUUCUGCCGAGGACGACCGGUCCGCCCUCUGGGUGAGUAUCUGGCUCGGCCUGGGCAUCUUCUUGGAGAACGUAUCUGCACUUGACUGUGUGGUGCGGUAUCCAGGACUUUUACUUUGAGGAAAUUAGAGUGUUUCAAGCAGGCACACGCCUUGAAUACAUUAGCAUGGAAUAAUAAGAUAGGACCUCGGUUCUAUUUUGUUUGGUUUCUUAGAGCUGUGGUAAUGAUUAAUAGGGACAGUUGGGGGCGAUUCAUAUUCCAAUGUCAGAGGUGAAAUUCUUGG
rnacentral:rRNA from 1 species